UGAAAGUACUCAUUCUGCAGAAAAAUGUUCCCUGUCAGCGUUUUACUAUUAUAUGUUGUGUUUUUUGGAUUAUUAUUUUACUGCUGUAGUUGUUUAUGGUUGAGCUAAUUUUAACUAUUUAUAUACCUGUGGGUAAUGUGUUUAUAGUAUCUCUAACAAGUCAACUUUUCAUGAGCUCAGAUAAACAGCCCUGUUUUCAGCUUUGUGACAAUGUAUUUUCCAGCUAAUCCAAGUUGCAUAAAAGGUAUAUACUCAAGUAAAGUACAAGUACCUCAAAAUUGUAUUUAAGUAUAGUACUUGAGUAAAUGUACUUAGUGACAUUCCACCACUGCAGCUGAAGCAGUGUAUUACUGCUCACCAAUAACAAUGUAAAAAUACUCACUUACAAGUCUUGCAUUCCCAACUCUUUGGGCCACGAACAGUUAACUUAAUGCAACCAUCUGAGAAGUUUGGAGGCUAGAUAAUUAUUUGGUGGAACUGCUAAUAACAGCCAGUGGUGGAGGGUAACCGAGGAUGAUAUGUACUGUAUUUAUUUUUUGAGGAAUUUGUACUUUACCGAGUACUUCUGUUUUACUUUAUUGUCAAGCUGCGACCAGAGUUGUGGCCCCGCUGCAGCUGAAGCAGUGUAACAGGGACUUGGAUCUGAUGUUGUAGUUGAGAAAAGCUGCAGCACAUCCGAUCUUCACCAAACCCAACCACAGCCACAGAAACAUGGGCUCAUUUCCGAGGAACAGCGCAACCGUGUCGCCUUCUUUAACAAGUCCACUCUGCAGGAAAACUCUUGCAGCUUUGUUACUGAGAUCAUCAGCGUCCUUGUAGAAAGGACUGUCGAAGCCGCUGUCCUGCUGUCGCUGUCUCAACUCAGAGAACAGAGGCCUGGAACAAACUCCAUGCUGCUUCUCACCCUCAGAGCCAGGGGUGGGCUCUCUGUGUGUACUCAUCUUCGCAUGGU